rnacentral:rRNA from 1 species
GAUGAACGCUGGCGGCGUGCCUAAUACAUGCAAGUCGAGCGAACAGAUGAGGAGCUUGCUCCUCUGACGUUAGCGGCGGACGGGUGAGUAACACGUGGAUAACCUACCUAUAAGACUGGGAUAACUUCGGGAAACCGGAGCUAAUACCGGAUAAUAUAUUGAACCGCAUGGUUCAAUAGUUCAAGACGGUUUUGCUGUCACUUAUAGAUGGAUCCGCGCCGCAUUAGCUAGUUGGUAAGGUAACGGCUUACCAAGGCAACGAUGCGUAGCCGACCUGAGAGGGUGAUCGGCCACACUGGAACUGAGACACGGUCCAGACUCCUACGGGAGGCAGCAGUAGGGAAUCUUCCGCAAUGGGCGAAAGCUUGACGGAGCAACGCCGCGUGAGUGAUGAAGGUCUUCGGAUCGUAAAACUCUGUUAUUAGGGAAGAACAAAUGUGUAAGUAACUAUGCACGUCUUGACGGUACCUAAUCAGAAAGCCACGGCUAACUACGUG